GGCCUCCUGGUGCUUACCACAGGCUGUGUUCUUACACUGACUGCAUAGAAAGAGGAGAGAAAUUAACCUACCUACCCCGUACAUACCUCGGCCCAGGUCCUGUGCCUGAUCUGUAUUGUGAACGAGGAGACAUUG
ensembl:snoRNA